ACCUGUAGUCCUUGUGGACUGUAUACAGCCUGUGUUAACCUGCGGUCCUUGUGGACUGUAUAUAGCCAGUGUUAACCUGCUGUCCUUGUGGACUGUAUAUAGCCAGUGUUAACCUGAAGUACUUGUGGACUGUAUACAGCCUAUGUAAACCUGUAGUACUUGUGGACUAUGUAUAGCCUGUGUUAACCUGCAGUACUCAUGGACUAUAUACAGCCAGUGUUAACCUGAGGUCCUUGUGGACUGUAUACAGCCAGUGUUAACCUGCAGUACUUGUGGACUGUAUAUAGCCAGUGUUAACCUGCAGUCCUUGUGGACUAUAUACAGCCAGUGUUAAUCUGCAGUACUUGUGGACUAUAUACAGCCAGUGUUAACCUGUAGUCCUUGUGGACUAUAUAUAGCCAGUGUUAACCUGCAGUACUUGUGGACUAUAUACAGCCAGUGUUAACCUGCAGUACUUGUGGACUAUAUACAGCCUGUGUUAACCUGAGGUCCUUGUGGACUGUAUACAGCCAGUGUUAACCUGCAGUACUUGUGGACUGUAUAUAGCCAGUGUUAACCUGCAGUCCUUGUGGACUAUAUACAGCCAGUGUUAAUCUGCAGUACUUGUGGACUAUAUACAGCCAGUGUUAACCUGUAGUCCUUGUGGACUAUAUAUAGCCAGUGUUAACCUGCAGUACUUGUGGACUAUAUACAGCCAGUGUUAACCUGCAGUACUUGUGGACUAUAUACAGCCUGUGUUAACCUGAGGUCCUUGUGGACUGUAUAUAGCCAGUGUUAACCUGCGGUCCUUAUGGUCUGUAUAUAGCCAGUGUUAACCUGCAGUACUUGUGGACUAUAUACAGCCAGUGUUAACCUGAGGUCCUUGUGGACUGUAUAUUGCCAGUGUUAACCUGAAGUCCUUGUGGACUGUAUAUAGCCAGUGUUAACCUGCAGUACUUGUGGACUAUAUAUAGCCUGUGUUAACCUGCAGUACUUGUGGACUAUAUACAGCCUGUGUUAACCUGCAGUCCUUGUGGACUAUUUAUAGCCAGUGUUAACCUGUAGUACUUGUGGACUAUUUAUAGCCAGUGUUAACCUGAAGUCCUUGUGGACUAUAUAUAGCCAGUGUUAACCUGUAGUACUUGUGGACUAUAUACAGCCUGUGUUACACCUGCAGUACUUGUGGACUAUAUACAGCCAGUGUUAACCUGCAGUCCUUGUGGACUAUAUAUAGCCAGUGUUAACCUGUAGUACUUGUGGACUAUAUAUAGCCAAUGUUAACCUGUAGUACUUGUGGACUGUAUACAGCCUGUGUUAACCUGCAGUCCUUGUGGACUGUAUAUAGCCAGUGUUAACCUGUGGUCCUUGUGGACUAUAUAUAGCCAGUGUUAACCUGUAGUACUUGUGGACUAUAUACAGCCUGUGUUACACCUGCAGUACUUGUGGACUAUAUACAGCCAGUGUUAACCUGCAGUCCUUGUGGACUAUAUAUAGCCAGUGUUAACCUGUAGUACUUGUGGACUAUAUAUAGCCAAUGUUAACCUGUAGUACUUGUGGACUGUAUACAGCCUGUGUUAACCUGCAGUCCUUGUGGACUGUAUAUAGCCAGUGUUAACCUGUGGUCCUUGUGGACUAUAUAUAGCCAGUGUUAACCUGCAGUACUUGUGGACUAUAUACAGCCAGUGUUAACCUGAGGUCCUUGUGGACUGUAUAUAGCCAGUGUUAAUCUGCGGUCCUUGUGGACUAUAUAUAGCCAGUGUUAACCUGAAGUCCUUGUGGACUGUAUACAGCCUGUGUUAACCUGCAGUAACUGUGCACUAUAUAUAGCCAGUGUUAACCUGAGGUCCUUGUGGACUGUAUAUAGCCAGUGUUAACCUGAAGUCCUUGUGGACUGUAUACAGCCUGUGUUAACCUGCAGUACUCAUGGACUAUAUACAGCCAGUGUUAACCUGAGGUCCUUGUGGACUGUAUACAGCCAGUGUUAACCUGCAGUACUUGUGGACUGUAUAUAGCCAGUGUUAACCUGCAGUACUUGUGGACUGUAUACAGCCUGUGUUACACCUGCAGUACUUGUGGACUAUAUACAGCCAGUGUUAACCUGCAGUCCUUGUGGACCAUGAAGCAUAAGCCAUCACGCCAUCAAGCCAUUAACCUGCGUUAACAAUUGUAAUAUUUUCAAUUGAUGCAAUCAAAUUUCACAGGAAAUAGAUUUCUGAACACUUAGUGAUCAAAACUUGAUGAAAUGAUCAUAUAAAUAUAUUUGAAAAUGUCCAGAUGCUAGGGGUGACUGAAAAGUGCCGAGCCUAUACCCUCCAAAAAUGUCUGCCAACGAUGCUGGAGAGCCCUGAUUCCACUGGUAUCUGGUUGUGCAAGAAGUCCUCCACAGAAGAAAUUACAACAUCGUCAUUUGCAGAAUUAUGAUAUCUGGAGAUACUUUAUCAACACAGAACACCUGGACACCUUGAUCUGCACUGUCCACCUAGGACAGGAGCAAAGAAAGGAACACCGUCCCCCUUAAGCUGGCAGCCCUUUCAGCUGGAGAUACUUUAUCAACACAGAACACCUGGACACCUUGAUGCCGGCAGACAGAUGCUGCCUGGUUGGUAUUGGGUAAAGUACAGCCUUGACUUCACAUCAUGAAGAAUAUGGGUGAGGCCUGCGGAUCCUGCAAAGCGUGAGCAGUCCACCUGUGUGACACACCUGAUCCACCAGUGAUUUCACAUCAUGAAGAAUAUGUGAGAGGCCUGCGGAUCCUGCAAGGUGUGAGCAGACCACCUAUGUGACACCUGGUCCACCAGUCCAAAAAACCAGGACAGUAAGCCAGCCAAAGAAGACACACACACACACAAACACUGUCAGCUUCUCCUUGGUGGGACAAUAAGAUGACUCAUUGAUGAAUGCAAGGCUGACGAAACUAGUCAGAAGGAUGGCUGACAUUCUCACCCUGGAUGUUGAUGAAGAGGAGAUCAAGCAAUGGGGAUCGGUGCAUCCAGAGGUGAUGGAGGGGGCGCCAGGAAUGAAAUUUAUUAAAUUCAUACCAAAUAUGGACUGCCCUGCCUGCCUUGACACUAAGACAUUUGCAUCGCGACGUGACUUUGAAGAACAUUGGGCGCGAACGCAUCACAGGGUGCAUAAAUCAUUUGCUUGCCCUGUAAAGAAGUGUCAGGAUUGUCGCUCUUCACUAAAAAGUUUAAAAUACCAUAUUGCGCACAAGCAUUUAAAUUCAAAUGUUAUUACCUCUCAGGUUGAUAAGCUUUGCGCAGAUGUGACUGUUGAAGUGGAACGAAAUGAAAAUUUCGUUGACCCUGGGGUUUACUGUUUGUCCUGGCAGACAUGGCGUCCCCGGGGCAAGAGGGCGGGUAAGAAGGGGAAAUCAGCGAAAGCAUCUUCCUCUUGCUCUGCCCUGUCUGUCCAAACGUCACAGACUGUCACAGAACCUAAGAAAGAAAUUGAUUCAGUUCCUCUCAAAUGUUCACUCCCAAAUAUGCCAUCUGUGUCCGAUCUGCAGAUGGAAAUUGCAGCUCUCAGAGAGCGCAAUACUGUGAUGCAGCAGGCUCUUGCCGCUCGCCAUGGGGCACACUGGCCUACCUGUCUGGAUAUUCCCACAAACAGGCCCCAGCUUGAUGAAUUUAUCGCCAAGGGCUGGGAGGCAAUGGCCGUGCUACAGUCUGCCGAGGGUAGGCGAUUUCAGCAGCAGCUUGACCAGCUAUGUAUAUUGUACGUAUUAGAUCAAAUAAAUGUUUCAUAGUAAUAUUUAACAGUUAUAGUUAGCUCCAGUGAUCGGCUCAA